GCACGACUCUCGAUAACGGAUAUCUCGACUCUUGUAUCGAUAAAAAAUGUAGCAAAAUGGAAUACCUGGUGUGAAUUGCAGAAUCUUGCAUACCACCAAGUCUUUGAACGAAGCUUGCAUCCAAGGCCACCCGACCGAGGGCACGCCUGCCUGGGCAUCACGC
rnacentral:rRNA from 1 species